rnacentral:rRNA from 1 species
ACGAACGCUGGCGGUGUGCUUAACACCUGCAGGUCGAACGGUAAGGCCCUUUCGGGGGUACACGAGUGGCGAACGGGUGAGUAACACGUGAGUAACCUGCCCUCAUCUCUGGGAUAACAGUCGGAAACGGUUGCUAAUACUGGAUAUGAGCUUGCAAGGCAUCUUGUGGGUUGGAAAGAUUUUUUUUGGUUGGGGAUGGACUCGCGGCCUAUCAGCUUGUUGGUGAGGUAGUGGCUCACCAAGGCUUCGACGGGUAGCCGGCCUGAGAGGGCGACCGGCCACAUUGGGACUGAGAUACGGCCCAAACUCCUACGGGAGGCAGCAGUGGGGAAUAUUGCACAAUGGACGGAAGUCUGAUGCAGCAACGCCGCGUGCGGGAUGACGGCCUUCGGGUUGUAAACCGCUUUCAAUUGUGACGAAGCGUUUUUGUGACGGUAGCAGUAGAAGAAGCACCGGCUAACUACGUG